CAAACUGGAGAUGGCGACCGGCGCACGGGUGAGUAACACUAUCCAACCUGCCGAUAACUCGGGGAUAGCCUUUCGAAAGAAAGAUUAAUGCCCGAUGGCAUAAUAGAACCGCAUGGUUUGAUUAUUAAAGAAUUUCGGUUAUCGAUGGGGAUGCGUUCCAUUAGGCAGUUGGUGGGGUAACGGCCCACCAAACCUUCGAUGGAUAGGGGUUCUGAGAGGAAGGUCCCCCCACAUUGGAACUGAGACACGGUCCAAACUCCUACGGGAGGCAGCAUG
rnacentral:rRNA from 1 species